UACAGAGGUCUCAAGCGUUGUUCGGAUUCAUUGGGUGUAAAGGGUGCGUAGGUGGCGCUGUAAGUCGGGUGUGAAAUUUCGGAGCUUAACUCCGAAACUGCAUUCGAUACUGCGGUGCUUGAGGACUGGAGAGGAGACUGGAAUUUACGGUGUAGCGGUGAAAUGCGUAGAUAUCGUAAGGAAGACCAGUGGCGAAGGCGGGUCUCUGGACAGUUCCUGACGCUGAGGCACGAAGGUCAGGGGAGCAAACGGG
rnacentral:rRNA from 1 species